rnacentral:rRNA from 1 species
GAAAGAUGAAAAGAACUUUGAAAAGAGAGUUAAACAGUACGUGAAAUUGUUGAAAGGGAAACGAUUGAAGCCAGUCGUACCUUCGGGUAAUCAGCCUUUUGGGUGUGAUUUUGUGGAGCGUGAAGAGUUAAACGCCUUCAUGCCUGCAUAUUCGUGCACUUUGGGUGUACUUGCCCGUAUGGUUGGUUAACAUCAAUUUUGGUGGUCAUAAAAUGACUGGAGGAAUGUAGCUUCGAUCUUGUAUUGAAGUGUUAUA